rnacentral:rRNA from 1 species
GACGAACGCUGGCGGCGUGCUUAACACAUGCAAGUCGAACGGAAAGGCCCUGCUUUUGUGGGGUGCUCGAGUGGCGAACGGGUGAGUAACACGUGAGUAACCUGCCCUUGACUUUGGGAUAACUUCAGGAAACUGGGGCUAAUACCGGAUAGGAGCUCCUGCUGCAUGGUGGGGGUUGGAAAGUUUCGGCGGUUGGGGAUGGGCUCGCGGCUUAUCAGCUUGUUGGUGGGGUAGUGGCUUACCAAGGCUUUGACGGGUAGCCGGCCUGAGAGGGUGACCGGCCACAUUGGGACUGAGAUACGGCCCAGACUCCUACGGGAGGCAGCAGUGGGGAAUAUUGCGCAAUGGGCGGAAGCCUGAUGCAGCAACGCCGCGUGCGGGAUGACGGCCUUCGGGUUGUAAACCGCUUUCGGCUGUGACGAAGCGUAAGUGACGGUAAUGGGAAAAGAAGCACCGGCUAACUACGUG